ensembl:processed_transcript RIKEN cDNA 2900052L18 gene
AAGGCUGCCCAAGGCCGCUUGAUGAAAGGAGAUAAACCGGGGACGGUUUCCAGGAUCCCCGCGGGCCGACCCAGGCAGCUCCCGAGCCGAGGCCGCCGGACAGGGAACACAAGCCUGACUGCGGGGUGGAGGCGCGAGGCCAGCCCGCGAUUGCGCCCUCUCCAGCGCGGUGAUUGCUGCGCGCCGGGCGCACGAGCUGCGGUGAGGCGCAUCUCCUGCAGAUCCAGUACGCGAUUGAUUCAGGCCAUCCUGUGCGGGAUGGGCGCGAAUUCCGGCUCCCGGUGGCUCGGUGGUGACCCGACGGCGAACGCCGGCCGGGCUUGGCCUGAGGUGAGCUCCGUUGUUCUGGUCCCUCCAGCGGCGGGCAGCCGUUUCCCGCUUCGCACGCACGGAGAGGAGCUUCCCGGCUCGGGAGAAACCGCUGCUGGCAACGGGAGGCCUCGGAACGCGAGCGCCCCUGUUCUCGGUUGGUGUAAGCAUCUCUUGCAAGCCGCAGAUUUUUCUGAGUGCUUGGAAUUCGAGUUCCUCGCUAUUUUCUUUCACUGAUUUUGCUUACCGAUCCAGGAAUCUUUAUAUCUAUCUCCCCGUUUAAAGUAUUCUCCCUUACCCCAUCCGUCCCUUCAAAAAGAAAAAGAAAAAAGGAAAAGAAUUUUAAAAAAAAAGAGAGAGAGAAAUAAUUGGAUGCUACAAGGACACAGCGUGGCAAUCCUCCGAGCUGCUGCAACCUCGAGGGGACCCGGGAGGUCAGUGUGGGGGAGGGGCGCGCCUAGACAGCUCGCACCCACUCUUUGAUUUUGCGUAACCCGGGUCCUCUAGGCUGGACCGGGAAGAUCUCCAAGUGUGGGAUCUAUCCCUCCAGGGCGGGUGGAGAUGGUCAGAAGGGCACACCGGUAAUCCAUCUGCACUCAGGCCUGCUGCUAGACACGAGAACGCGAGGUUUCUUUCCUCCUCAAGCCGGUUUAGAAUCUUGGGGAUCAGCACCGCCGGAUCCCUAAAAGCUGGGCAGGAGGAUUUGUCUCCAACCCCGCCAUGUUCUGUGUCCACCCCAACCCCGUUCUGUGUCGUCUCACAUCCCCGAAAGGCUCCCAGAGUGUGAAAGGCCUCGACUCCUUGCUGUCUUGCUCCCACCUCUGCGUCCUCUCUAACCUCAGUAUUCACUUAAGUCUAGUGGCCUUUCUCCUCCUUCGCUCAAUACUGUUUCAAAAUAGUUGUUACAGCAAAUAGCUGCCGACGCGCCUCUGGAUGCCGCCAGAGGCUGGCAGCUGCCCAGCGCGGGCGCACAGCCCCCGGCAGUUCCACAAGACCAAAAUAAGCUCCCGUGUUCCUCUCACAGGGCUCGGCCUCCUGGGCGGGCCCGGGCAUGUCUGGCUGGGCUCGCUAUCUGCUUGGAGCAAACCAUCCUGGUUUCCUCCUUGACUUCCUGCUAUCCAAAACUAACAAAUGUUUUUCAUUUUAGAAGAACAUGGCGUGAGGAUCAGGGUCCUUUCUAGAGCAGUGCUUCUCACCCUUCCGAAUGCUGCGACCCUUUAAUACAGUUCCUCAUGUUGUAGUGACCCUCAACCAUAAAACUAUUUUUGUUGCUACUUCA